rnacentral:rRNA from 1 species
AAGGAAUAUUCCACAAUGGACGAAAGUCUGAUGGAGCAACGCCGCGUGCAGGAUGACGGUCUUCGGAUUGUAAACUGCUUUUAUGAGAGAAGAUUAUGACGGUAUCUCAUGAAUAAGGACCGGCUAACUACGUGCCAGCAGCCGCGGUAAUACGUAGGGUCCAAGCGUUAUCCGGAAUCACUGGGCGUAAAGCGUGCGUAGGCGGAUAUUUAAGUGAGAUGUUAAAUCGUGUGGCUCAACCAUAUCGAUGCAUCUCAUACUGGAUGUCUAGAGGAAAGCAGAGGCAAGUGGAAUUUGUAGUGUAGCAGUGAAAUGCGUAGAUAUUACAAGGAACACCAAUGGCGAAGGCAGCUUGCUGGGCUUUUUCUGACGCUGAGGUACGAAAGCGUGGGGAGCGAAC